ensembl:ncRNA T27B1.7 ncRNA
GAAAACGCUUGACGACGAUUGCCCGACGCGUCAAAACUUGCUAACGGAUGAAGCGAGGGAAGCUGAUGGCAAAUGAGAGCGAAAUUUUGGAUUGCGUAACAUCUUUUGCGCAAGAGGAAGAAAAUGGAAAAAAAAACGAAAACAA